GGCCUCCCUCUUUGGGGUGAUCAAUUGCAGGGCUCCGCAAUUGAUAGCCCCACAGAGGGAGGCC
rfam:Myotis lucifugus cont2.10358, whole genome shotgun sequence.